CCAGAAUUUAAUGAUGACGCAUAGUUCAUUUGACAAACGAUGAUAAUAAUCUUACUAUGUAUGUCUUUCGCUCCUAUCUGAAAUUCUGG